CUAAAGCUCAUCCUCACCUCACGCCGCUGUCUCUUUCUCAUUUACUCUCACUCAUUGUCUUUCUCUCUCCUCUCUCUUUUCUCUCAUUUACGCCAUUUUCAAUUUUUCUCCAUUGAAAUUGCUGAUUCAAGCUUGUGAAUCUUCAUCUCAUCAUUCUCAAGCAUUUCUUCAGUUCAUUGCGAUUUGUUUUCGCCGAUACACUAAGUCCACCGAAGAGUGCACAAAGCCCACCGAAGAGUGCACCUCAAAGUUUAGCAGCAGCCAUGGGCAGUCAGAUCUAAUUUUUAGUUUAUUUCUUCAAAAUUAGUUGCUGUUGGAAAGCUUAGGAAGUAUUUUGGACAUGUUAUUUGAGUUUCCUAGAUUAAACCUUUAUUUUCCACCUAUUGGAAGUAUUUUGGACGUGUUUUCCUACUUUAAAUUGUUGUAUGAACUAUGCAGCAGCACUACAAAUAUGUUUGCUUUAAAUUUGCAUUUUAUGUUA